rnacentral:tRNA from 1 species
GCCUGGGUGGCUCAGCGGUUGAGCGCCUGCCUUUGGCCCAGGGUGCGAUCUUGGAGUCCUGGGAUCAAGUCCCACAUCAGGCU